rnacentral:rRNA from 1 species
ACGGAGGUGGCAAGCGUUACUCGGAAUCAUUGGGUGUAAAGGGCACGUAGGCGGUUUAAUAAGUGAGGGGUGAAAUCUCCCGGCUCAAUCGGGAAACUGCCCUUCAAACUGUUAAACUUGAGGAUGGUAGAGGAAAGCGGAAUUUCCGGUGUAAGGGUGAAAACUGUGGAUAGCGGGAAGAACAGCAACGGCGAGGGCAGCUUUCUGGAGCAUCUCUGACGAUGAAUUGCGAAAUCUACGGGAGCCAAAAG